AUUGAACGCUGGCGGCAUGCUUUACACAUGCAAGUCGAACGGGGUUGGGAGCUUGCUUCCAAUCUAGUGGCGAACGGGUGAGUAAUACAUCGGAACGUACCGUGUAGUGGGGGAUAACGUAGCGAAAGUUACGCUAAUACCGCAUACGAUCCACGGAUGAAAGCAGGGGACCUUCGGGCCUUGUGCUAUACGAGCGGCCGAUGUCUGAUUAGCUAGUUGGUGAGGUAAAGGCUCACCAAGGCGACGAUCAGUAGCGGGUCUGAGAGGAUGAUCCGCCACACUGGGACUGAGACACGGCCCAGACUCCUACGGGAGGCAGCAGUGGGGAAUUUUGGACAAUGGGCGCAAGCCUGAUCCAGCCAUGCCGCGUGUCUGAAGAAGGCCUCGGUUGUAAGG
rnacentral:rRNA from 1 species